UCAAUUUGGGGAAAUCACCAUUAUUCCAAUCAAUUAUCAUAAAAGAAAAUUAAAAUAAAAUUAAAGGAAAAUAGAGAAGAAAGGAAACUUACCAUUUCCUUUUGGUGGUGGCUUUAUGGAAAUGGGAAAUUAAAAAGGGGAUUAUGAAGGGAAUAGGCCAUUUUGGCCGUGACAUCUAGAGAGGUUAGAGAGAGAGGGUGGCGAGCUAGAGAGAGAGAAAGGAAGGCUGCCAUAUUUUUCUAGAGAAGAAGGAGAAGAAAAAGAAAGGAAGAAGAAGAAAAGAAAGAGAAGGAGAAGAAGAAGAGGGUUUCGACCCUAGGUGACAAGGUUUUCUAGCUAGAGUGUUCUUUAUUCAACAAUCAAGAGAGGUAGCAAAUAGGAUUUCUCUAUGGCACGCGUGGUGACGUGAGGAGUUCUAUCGUCGUGGGGUGUAUGGCGUGGGGCAUCCUAUGGACGGAAUAAACAGUUACUUUAAAGACGUCAUUUUUCUUUAAUUAUGUUAUGCUUUAAGAGACUUUCUAAAUUAUCAGUGGGACUUAAUUAUUUAAUUUUUGUUUCUUUUAAACUUUGCAUAAAAAUUCAUGUUUUCUUUUUAAAACUAAUGGGCGUAACUUGCAUGGUUUUAAGAAAGUCCCCAUUGAGACCUUUAUAAUAAGUGGUUUUCUUUUAUGAAACAAUGAUAUGUGAAUGUUUUAUUAAGUAUUAGUUUAGGGCGUUCUUUUCAACCUGCCUUUGAACGAUUUUGACCAAGUUCUGGGCGUCUAUUGAAAGAAAAUUCAAAUCUUUUUCAUUAUAUAUUCAUUUAUUUAUUCAAAUUAAAUGGGGUUAGUUUCACUCCUUGAACUCUAUAAAUAGGACCUAGUACUCAGCCAUUUUCUUCAUUCUUCAAGUAUUCUUUAGAGCCUUCAAGUUGCUGAGGUUAGUAUAGAGAGAAACACUUGGGUUUUGGGUUAAAAGAUUUUCCAAUCUAAGCUUUUCUAAACACUUGGGAAGUGAGAUGUAGAGUUAUUUCGGUAUCGAGGUAUAGAUCAAGUCAUAAGUUCAUUCAAGGUAUUCUUAUCCUUCAGUUCAAAUUCUUCAUGGUUCUUUAGUUUUAUUUUAUUUUCUUUCAGAUCCUAACUCUUGUUUAUGAUUCUUGAUUAGGUGUUUAAGUUUCUUGAAACUUAAGGUUCUUUUCGUUAAGUUUCUACUCGGAUAGUUUAGUUUUCUUUUCAUCUCUUUCCUUUAGAAACUCACCAUUCUUACUGUUGGUUUUAGGAGUGUUCCAAAUCCCGUUCUUGUCUCCAUAUCCCGGUUUUUGGUAAGGAAAGUAGGUUAGGUUACAUGUGUUUAUAUGUUUAUGUUAUGAUAUGUUUUAUGCUAUGAUAUGCAGAGCUGUAAAUGUGGGCCGGCCCGGCCCACAUUUUUCGUGCCUCCGAUAAAUUCGU